CUCCAAAGGGCAGCGCCUUCCUAUUGGUCACUCAACCUCACGUCAUCAGUUCUCUGCUUAGCUGAGACUUUACAGCGAGUUAACCUAUCUUAACUGCUCUAUGAGGAGGAUAAUAACGGUGGGGUAUCCCUCGGAUGUUCACAAAACAAUUACUUGUAAAUAUGAUUUUAACGACAAGAAGGGCUUGAAAGGUGCGAUAACCACAAUAAUAGGGUAUACCUGCAUCUGAUCUGAUUAAGUUGCGUUAAUGACCCAGUGAGGUGAUGAUCAGGGUAGGCUAUAUUACAACCGUGUUAAAGUUGACACUAUAAUUUUACGAAUGGAGCAAUCGUUUAGAGGCUUGUGAAUUAUGAUCAAUUAUUAGGAGAGUAAUCCGAACACUUCCGUAACGAAUUCGUAUAAACUUGUUAACUGCGUAAUUAUGCUAUGCGUGCUAGCUCUAUCGUAAUUACGCACAAGUCACAGUCCAAGGUUCUGUCAUUGGAUGUCCCGGCUAACUGACAGCAUUUCCCCGCUGCAAUCAGGAGCUCGUUACAGUUGAAAAUGUAUGUAAAUUGCACAUGCAGUUAGUGGUUUGGCAAAUCGCGUUCACAUUAUAAACCACUCUGUAAAUACACACUACAACGCUCACUUAAUUCACAUUUCACAUCAUUUCAUUUUUAUGGUCAACACGUUACUUCAUAAUAUAGCGUUCAUUUACUUUCAACGGUGAUGAAAAAGUAAUUAUAGUCGCAAUCAGUUAUAUCCAAAUCCCAUUUGAUUACCCGCUACACUGUAUUUAAAUUGCUCCAAUAAAAUUGUGAACAAUUCAUCUGUAAUGAUUAUGGACGAAGUUUAUUUUUGGAAGUGGAAUAAAAGUAGAUAUAGCAUAAAUUAUCCGCUAAUUAUACGCCAGUGUCGCCUCAAUUAUCCUCUUAUCAAAAAUGGUCGUCUAAAUGCAGCGUUUAGUUUCAAUUUUCUCCCUUUCUGUAACAAGAACUUGGUACCUUGCUAUUAUUGCCAGGGUUGUUAUUUACUUUGCGGGAUUUAAAAGUGCACAAGCGGCCUGGAUAACCACUCUCCAUGAGCGGACGAGUAGAGACACAGGGCCAGCUGAUCGUUCAAAAGCUCGCGUUGUUGGAUUUUCCACUGAUUUCUGCUUACAACAAAACAUAGCUGGAAUUUGUAUUUAAGACAGUAUGACAGGGAGCCUGAUUUGAGAUGUUCUUCUGUUGUUGAUUGCUCAACAUUGAGAGAUAUUUCAAGGGCUCAGAGAGCUGACUGAGGAGAAGUCUUUUGAAAGAGCAAAGCCCGAUGACCAGGCGAAGGAAAUCAAGGCUCCCUAGUGUGUCGCCUUAGCAACGGGGGAAAAUUAGCAUUGACUUCCGAGCAAGCCUACAAAACUAGGCUUCAGGGUAUUUUUUACAUCUUGAAAAGUGACAAUCAAAGAAGAUCUAAAGACAUGCUUCCACUUCCAUUUAUAUUGAAAUCAGCUUCUUUCUUUUUUCCGCUGCCCGAACACAAAAAGUCUUAAUGUAUGUAUUUUUGCUCAUUUUACUGUGUUGUGCUGUUUCCCCGCGAUGCCCCCUUGCUCAUGUUUGCCUCCCGCCGUGGCAAACAGAACACGUCUAUGAUAGUGAAUGCAUUUCAGAGCACUUCCCCACAUGAACUAGAGCUGACACUGGCUUCCUCAUUCGCAGGCAUGGAAUUCAGCUCUCAUGAUUGCCAACACGCUUAAUGAUAGCAUCUUGUAGAGUCACAGAAGUAUCACACUGAUGCGCCAUCUCUCUCUCUUUCCCUCUCUUCAUCACAUUGCAGGGAAUUCAGUGGCGUCCAAACUGCAGAACCCGCAACUAAGCCCAUCAGGAGACGUUAUUCAGAGAAAUGAAGUGCAGAUUGUUUGUGCCGAAGCAUGAAGCUACUUGGUGUAUCCCCUCAUCACAAACAAGCUGCACUGCCAUGUAGGAACAAGCAGGAAUACAUUAAAAGGUAAUGAGAGAUCAGUCAGAAGAGGGUCAUGCAGGGGCACUGUUUGGCAUCGCUGUUGCUGGAGAGAGCUUUCAGAGUGACGGCCUUGUUGUCUCUGUUGAGGAGCCAGAAGGGGUGGAGUUCAACAACGUUCCUCAUGGCAACAGUUGCUAAGCCUUGUUUCUUGUUGAUGUGGUUAUUUGUAAAUCAAAACUGGGUGCAUAAGAUUAGCAAGUAUUCUAUAUAUGUGUUAUUUCUCAUACUAACAAUGAUUUGAAUAAAUAUUUUCAUUUAAGACCA